CACCCGCUGUUGGAGUCCAACCAUCUCAUCCUAUCUUCGGCGUAAUUGCACCGGUCCUCGCGCUCCUCAUUCCGAGACGUCAAUUAAGUGCUGCAAAAAA